AACUUGAGAUCUCUCCUCUCUGUUUAUUAUUUAGAUAUGGGUUAUCAUGUCCCUGUGGGUUUGAGAAAUGAAUUGUCUUUCCUUGAAUUCAAUUCUAGAUUUUUAAAUUUCAGUUAUUUUUAGAUUUUAUAUGGUCUGGGACUCUGGGUUUUUACUCUUUGUUUUCCAGUUGUUUACAGUGUGAUGCUGCAUCUUUAGUUAUUCACUUACUCAGUGGACUGUUUCUGUCUAGAUUGUUUUACUUUAUGUGAAAUGGAAGAUGGGUUGAAUAUGCAUUCUGAUUUCUUAAGCUACUCUGAUGGAUUUUGCGGUGUAGAUUAAUUAUUCUUAAAAUUCUGGCUUUUCUGGGUUGCAAGAAAAAGGUUAUUAGCAGAUUCUUCUGUAGGUCAAACCCAUUGUGUUUAUCGCUGCCAUUUAUCAGGCGAGUUCAUCUUGAGGAUGCUCUAAACAUUGCAACACAUUCCCUCGUUGAUAUGGAAGAGCUGAGGCAAGACUCGUAAAGGAAGCAAGACUGGCGGAGGAGGCCAGAGUUAUAGAGGAGACAGCCUAAACAGCAAAAGAGGAGGCUAAAACAGCUUAAGAGGCCGAGUCUGGGAACUUUGGUAUCCAUUUCUAGAUUACUAUUAUCUAUGCUACUACUAAAGUCUUAUAUUGGCUACAGUACUACCAUGACUCUUAAAUUUGCUUACGUAUGGAUUUAGUAGUGUUGAACGAGAUGAUAUUAAGGAACCUUUUACUGAGGUUUAAGUUGAAAUGCUGAAAGACAUAAUUAUAUUGUUGCUCAAUCGGAAUAUGCAUCAAUAAAUCUUAUAGACACAGGAUAUCGUUUCUAUACCCAACUAAAUGGAUUAAACCAGCCAUUCAACGUAAGUUUUUACUGAAGAACAUAACUAUAUCCAAUUUGUAAGACACCCACCUUGGUGUAGUUUUUUUUCCACAAUCUAGACAUAGACUUUGAAGUGGUUAGUCAAAAACUUCAAAUACGGCCUUUUAGUUUGGCAAGAAGUAGGUGUGGGAUUAGGAGAAGGAAGAUGUCACAAGGAUUGUGCUGCAUAAAGAUUUGGUGGUUAUGAGCAGUAAGUAUCGUCCUUAUUUCUUAUUGUGGCAUCCAUAGUGAGAAAGGUUGCUAGAAAUUUGUCCUUGUUGAUACCUAAAAAGCUACAUGUUCUCUUUUUAUUAUAAUUUUAUUUGCAUUUAAUUAGAAAUGCAUAUAUGGUUCCUGACCUGUUUUCUUCAUGUAUUUUUGACACUAAUAGGUAUCCAUGUUCAAGAAGAAUUACGAUCAUGUACCAAAAGAUACAUACUUUGGAAUGUACAAAGAAUCAACCCGUGGCAACCCAAACUACUUUCUGACUUAUGGAAAUGGGAAAUCAGUUGCUCGAAUCCAAGAUCAUUUCCAUCCUAAUGGUGCACACAGAUGGCACAAUUAUAUGAAAACCCCAAAUGAGAUCAAAUUGGAAGAGGCUGCUGUUCUACACUACAUAUAUGCCAAAUUUUCGGACUUAACAUCAAGACAUGAUCGGUGUGGCUGCAAGCCUACAAGAGAAUAUGUCAAAAGAUGCUUCAUGAUGGAAUUUGAUAGAACUGUACCAUGAACCCAUUGCUUGUCAUAAUAUGCUUUUGUUUAGGUUGUGAUUGCAGAUGCAUCACACGUCUAUAUGACUGGAGUCUAGAGGAUCGAUAACUUAAGAAGGAACUGGUUUGGUUGUUGUCGGUUGGUCUGGCCUAUUGCUCUUUCUUUGUAUGGGGUAGGUUCAGCAGGUCAAAGACAUAGACAAGUUGGGUUUUAUGGGUCUGGUUCAAGCAGAGCUUGUGUUGAUAGAAGACUGGUACAUUUUCAGAUUAGACCGGUGGGGAUUGGUGGAGGGUUGUCACUUGAGACAAGAAAACCAAUCAUACCAGUCGCGGGGUCUAGUCAAAUGCAGUGCUUCUGUAAUAUGUGCUUCUGCUUUGAAUGCCAGAUGUGCUACAGCACUACAAACCAAAUCUGUUACACACCAGGCUCCAACAAUCACAAGUCUUCCUCAUAAGGCAAAUACUUAAUUGUUUUUUUUUUAAAACAUGAGCAAAUACUUGUUGUUAAUUGCAUAUCUGGUGGCAUUGAAAAAGCUGGUGUUCUAAACGUUAGAGAACAGAAUGUAUUUCUUGUCUUCUUUGUUCAGUAGUUGAUAGUCCUUACAUAAUUGAUUAGAAUAGCACCGCCAAGCAAAAGCUUCUGUUCCUAUAUUUGAAUCUUUGAUCAUAUUAUUUAGGAAAACAAAAGCUUCUGUUCCUCGUCCUUUCAUUGUUCUCACCCUCUUCUUUAUUGUGAAACCAAAUUUGUUGCAUGAAUGAAUGCCUCAGGGACUUAAAAUUUUCAAUAAAGCUAUCAGGGAACUUAUCACUUGCCUUAGAGUAGAUUGAUAGCGACAACUAUCUUCUUUAUUUGAGCUAAAAGAUCAACUUCUUAUGUAAAUUAACUUCUGUUUUUGAUAUAUUACAUUUUUAUAAUAGUUGAACUAAGUAUCAAUGUUGAACUAGAGCUUUUGUUUUUCUUUAACAUGUCAUAAAUCUACUCUAAUAUUCCGCUUGUUUUCUGUUAAUUGUUAAUGUGUCUACAUAAUCAUUGUACUAGUUAUGUAAAGGAUAAAGUUGAUUCUGGCUAUAUGGUGUUUUAUCAUUGAGAUAACUUGACGAACAUGUACUAGAAGACACUUUCUUAUUGAGUUUC